UUGGAGGCUUCACGUGGCAGCCGUGGCUUCCUUCCUGUUUUCCGGGGGUCUGCGACUGAACUCGCUGCGGAGCUGGAGAAUGGCGCCGAGUCCGCUCUUGUGCAGCAGCCGCUUGCAGGUUCCCGGUCCUUGCAGGCGGGCUCGCAGCGCGAGAUGUGUCAGGAGUCUUAGGACGUCCGCUGGUGUGUUACUCUGAAAUAAAGCAUGAGAACUCUGGAAACACAGGUGGGAUAGAGCCCUUACCAGAAAUUCUGCACUAACCUGAUGGCUGGAAACCUAAGGCUUGGAAUCCACCCCUUCCUCUAGGGAGCAACUGUUGGGAUCCACGGGACCCCUGCCAGGGAUUUUGCUGACAGGAUGUCUGCUACCUCACGUUGGGCAGAUCCUGGGAGCUUACAUCAUUCCUGAAUUAACCUACACGAAUAGCUGUCAACUCUCACUGGGCAGAAAGUUGGCUGGAAAUUUUCAAACACUUUGUAUUAAGUAGAGUUCACUUAUAUUUGUGUUCUGCAAGUUCCUGGUUUACUGAAAGAAUUUCAGUCUUGUACUUUGUGAGGCAGGCGGCAGAGCCAC